rnacentral:rRNA from 1 species
AGUGAACGCUGGCGGUAUGCCUAACACAUGCAAGUCGAACGGCAGCACAGUAAGAUCUUGCUCUUACGGGUGGCGAGUGGCGGACGGGUGAGGAAUACAUCGGAAUCUACUUUUUCUUGGGUGAUAACGUAGGGAAACUUACGCUAAUACCUCAUACGACCUACGGGUGAAAGCAGUGGAUCUUCGGACCUUUCGCGAUUGAAUGAGCCGAUGUCGGAUUAGCUAGUUGGCGGGGUAAAGGCCCACCAAGGCGACGAUCCGUAGCUGGUCUGAGAGGAUGAUCAGCCACACUGGAACUGAGACACGGUCCAGACUCCUACGGGAGGCAGCAGUAGGGAAUAUUGGACAAUGGGCGAAAGCCUGAUGCAGCAAUACCGCGUGAGUGAAGAAGGCCUUCGGGUUGUAAAGCCCUUUUGUUGGGAAAGAAAAGAAGCAGGUUAAUACACCGAUGUUCUGACGGUACCUAAAGAAUAAGCACCGGCUAACUUCGUG